AAAUACACCUGGUGCCUUAUCAGUGGACACAAUUACAGAAAAACUAACUUUUACAGCAUUAACCUGUUUUGGAUGUUGUCGGACUUAAAUUAAAGCUGACAGUCUGCACCAUGAGCUCAACUCGAGUGCGUUAAAAGGUG